rnacentral:rRNA from 1 species
GACGAACGCUGGCGGCGUGCUUAACACAUGCAAGUCGAACGAUGAAGCUAGAGCUUGCUCUGGUGGAUUAGUGGCGAACGGGUGAGUAACACGUGAGUAACCUGCCCCGAACUCUGGGAUAACUGCUGGAAACGGUAGCUAAUACUGGAUACGACCAACGAAGGCAUCUUCUGUUGGUGGAAAGAAUUUCGGUUCGGGAUGGACUCGCGGCCUAUCAGCUUGUUGGUGAGGUAACGGCUCACCAAGGCGACGACGGGUAGCCGGCCUGAGAGGGUGAUCGGCCACACUGGGACUGAGACACGGCCCAGACUCCUACGGGAGGCAGCAGUGGGGAAUAUUGCACAAUGGGCGCAAGCCUGAUGCAGCAACGCCGCGUGAGGGACGACGGCCUUAGGGUUGUAAAGCUCUUUCGUCCGGGACGAUAAUGACGGUACCGGAAGAUGAAGCCCCGGCUAACUUCGUGCCAGCCGCCGCUGUAA